CGUGCGCCGACGGUUCCGUUUCCGGAGUGGAGGGCCUGCCGGGGGUGUCUGAAGCUGAGACCGCUGGCUCGCCGUCGCCGCACGAAUUUCGGGUUCUGCAGCUGACGCUACUGGGCGGGGCUUCGUGGCCAGGGACUGAGGGCCGCUGGCUCAGGCCUAACUUUCCCCAGCUGUGCAUUGAGACCAGGUGCAGGGCCGCCUCCAGGGCGGGCCCUGAAGAGAGGCCGCACCCUCACGGGGACUGCAUCUCCCAGAGCGCCCCGCGGGCGGCCGGGCGGCGGGACUCCAUCUCCUAGAGUGCCCCGCGGGCGGCCGGGUGGCGGCUGCCGCAACCGACAGGUCGGGGUCUGGGCGCUGCGGCCUCUUCCCCGCGCCGGGGGCGGGGUCCUCGCUGGACAGCUUCCCGGCGGCGGCGCGAUGGACAGCCCCGAGGUGACCUUCACUCUCGCCUAUCUGGUGUUCGCCGUGUGCUUUGUGUUCACGCCUAACGAGUUCCACGCGGCGGGGCUCACGGUGCAGAACCUGCUGUCGGGCUGGCUGGGCAGCGAGGACGCCGCCUUCGUGCCCUUCCACUUGCGCCGCACGGCCGCCACGCUGUUGUGCCACUCGCUGCUGCCGCUCGGCUACUAUGUGGGCAUGUGCCUUGCGGCUUCAGAAAAGCGGUUCCACUCCCCCGCCUGGCGGCUCUUCCUGCUGCUGGCCGUGACCCUCCCCGCCGUCGCCUGCAUCCUGAUCUACUACUGGUCCCGUGACCGGUGGGCCCGCCACCCACUGGCACGCACCCUGGCACUCUAUGCCCUCCCACAGUCGGGCUGGCAGGCUGUUGCCUCCUCCAUCAACACUGAGUUCCGGCGGAUUGACAAGUUUGCCACCGGCGCACCAGGUGCCCGUGUGAUUGUGACAGACGUGUGGGUGAUGAAGGUGACCACCUACCGAGUGCAUGUGGCCCAGCAGCAGGACGUGCACCUGACUGUGACGGAGUCUCGGCAGCACGAGCUCUCACCAGACUCGAACCUGCCCGUGCAGCUCCUCACCAUCCGUGUGGCCAGCGCCAACCCUGCCGUGCAGGCCUUUGACAUCCGAGGGCCCCAGCAGCUCUCCUCCCUGCAGGCUGAACUCCACUGAGUACGGGGAGCUCUGCGAGAAACUCCGGGCACCCAUCCGCAGGGCAGCCCACGUGGUCAUCCACCAGAGCCUGGGCGACCUGUUCCUGGAGACAUUUGCCUCCCUGGUAGAGGUCAACCCGGCCUACUCAGUGCCCAGCAGCCAGGAGCUGGAGGCCUGCAUAGGCUGCAUGCAGACGCGUGCCAGCGUGAAGCUGGUGAAGACCUGUCAGGAGGCAGCCGCAGGCGAGUGCCAGCAGUGUUACUGCCGCCCCAUGUGGUGCCUCACCUGCAUGGGCAAGUGGUUCGCCAGCCGCCAGGACCCCCUGCGCCCUGACACCUGGCUGGCCAGCCGCGUGCCCUGCCCCACCUGCCGCGCACGCUUCUGCAUCCUGGAUGUGUGCACUGUGCGCUGAGUGGGCUGGGGCCUUGAGGUGACUCUGUGUCCCCCCAGCCACGGGGCGGGGAAGGGGGUGGCUGGGUCUCCUGGCUGGUAAAGGGCUCUACUUAAAGCACAUGAUCUGGAGCAACUCACCUCUGCCCUGGGUCUGCAGAAGGCUGAGGACUUUUGGUUAAAAGCAAUCCUCAUGAAAACACCCCACCCUGCUUGGCAGCCAGGGUACAAGUCCUGGGUACCUCCUCUUCGCCUCCCUUCUGCCCCCUUCCUGCUGCUGGGGGCAGAUCCUGCACACACAGAACACAGCGUUUGCCCCCGAGCCAUUCCCUGGAGACUCUGGGUCUACCCCAGGUGGUCGUCACCUGGGCCAUUUGCCUUACUUCCCUGGAGCACACCCCCCCUCAGUUACAUGCCAGACCCAGAUCUGCAUUCUCCUGCCCUGUCCUGGAGCUGGCCUCUGGCUGCCUGGAGAACCCUGGGUAGGUCCCAAGGGUGGGAUAGAGAAGAGGGCACCGCUGUGGUGUGGGAGCAGUCCUGGGGCUUCCUGGUGGCUGUGGCCAGUUGAGGGCCAUUCCUGGGUGGGGUGGCAAUGGAAGGACAGGUCAGAGUGCCCUCAUUUGUGGGGCUGCCCCUCAGGGGUUCUCAUCCUGUCCUUGGUGCCUUCUGCUGCCCAACAAGUCCAGGGAAGGCCGAGGCCUCAGACUCCUGGGUAGGGGUGGGGGUUGAGGACCAAAGUGCCAUAGUGACAUCCAGAACACAAGCCCACCAGGGUCCAGCACAGGCUGCCCACUCCCCCAGGGUCUCCCAGGCUCAGAAGGGGGUGCACGCCCCAUGUGGUCAAGGCUCGGGUGAGUGUCUUGCCCAAUUCCUGUUGGUUCAAGGGGAGAGGAGACGUUGGCCAGGCCCCAGGCACAGCCCUGACACAGCCGUGGCUACUGGAGGGGCCUCACACCUGCGGCCCCAAAGCCCCUGGGCUUGGCUGUUUCACGCAGAGGUGAUGGACUCAGGUGGCCUGACCCUUGGGAUUUGGGAGGCUUCCUGGAACACUCAGCAGGUGAAGGCAGCAAGGGCCGUGGCUGGGAGCCAGACCUAGCCUUGGUCCUGAGUUUUUUAUUUGUUUUUUUUGUUUGUUUGUUUGUUUUUAUUUUUUGAGACAGAGUCUCGCUCUGUCGCCCAGG